rnacentral:lncRNA from 1 species
GAAACUACCAGGCCAAAUUUAAACAAACUUGGCCGCAAUCAUCAUUGGGGUAUCUAGUUUAAAAAUUGUGUGGCGUGACCCGGCCAACCAACAAAGAUGGCCGCCAUGGCUAAAAAUAGAACAUAGGGGUAAAAUGCAGUUUUUUGCUUAUAACUCAAAAACCAAAGCAUUUACAGCAAAUCUAACAGGGAGUAAAAUUGUUAAUCAGGUCAAGAUCUAUUUGCCAUGAAAUUUUCAGAUGGAUUGGACAAACUGCUGUUAGGUUGCUGCCCCUGAAUUAGUCAUUUUAAGGAAAUUUUGCCGUUUUUUGUUAUUAUCUUGAAUAUUAUUAUAGAUAGAGAUAAACUGUAAAGGGAAACAAUGUACAGCAAAGUAACACCUAAAAAUAAGUCAACAUGACCUAAAUGUUCAAUUGACCCCAUAAGGAGUUAUUGCCCUUUAUAGUCAAUUUUUAACAAUUUUCAUAAAAUUUGUAAAUUUUAACUAACAUUUUCCACUGAAGCUCUUAGGCCAAGUUCAAUAAAGAUAGAAUGAUUGUAAGCAGCAAUAAUGUUCAGUAAAGUAAGAUAUACAAACACAUCACCAUCACCAAAACACAAUUUUGUCAUGAAUUCAAAUGCGUCCUUUGUUUAACAUUCACAUAGACCAAGGUGAGCGACACAGGCUCUUUGGAGCCUCUAGUUCACUGUUGUUUCGUUGCUGUCUGGUGGACAAAUACAUGAAUUCUGCAUGUCAUCAUUAAACACGUGAAUAGCUAUAUAUCUGGUAAAUCAAACACUUUUUCUUCGCAUAGAAAGAACUCUUCAUUAAUCUGAGCAUGGAACGAAUACUUUAUAUCACGAACUAUAAAUGUGGAUACAAAAAAAUGAAAAACUAAGCUAAAUUGUUAAUCCCGC